rnacentral:rRNA from 1 species
GACUCCUACGGGAGGCAGCAGUGAGGAAUAUUGGACAAUGGGCGAGAGCCUGAUCCAGCCAUGCCGCGUGCAGGAAGACGGUCCUAUGGAUUGUAAACUGCUUUUAUAC